rnacentral:rRNA from 1 species
ACGGGUGAGUAAUGUCUGGGGAUCUGCCCGAUAGAGGGGGAUAACCACUGGAAACGGUGGCUAAUACCGCAUAACGUCGCAAGACCAAAGAGGGGGACCUUCGGGCCUCUCACUAUCGGAUGAACCCAGAUGGGAUUAGCUAGUAGGCGGGGUAAUGGCCCACCUAGGCGACGAUCCCUAGCUGGUCCGAGAGGAUGACCAGCCACACUGGAACUGAGACACGGUCCAGACUCCUACGGGAGGCAGCAGUGGGGAAUAUUGCACAAUGGGCGCAAGCCUGAUGCAGCCAUGCCGCGUGUAUGAAGAAGGCCUUCGGGUUGUAAAGUACUUUCAGCGGGGAGGAAGGCGGUGAGGUUAAUAACCUUACCGAUUGACGUUACCCGCAGAAGAAGCACCGGCUAACUCCGUGCCAGCAGCCGCGGUAAUACGGAGGGUGCAAGCGUUAAUCGGAAUUACUGGGCGUAAAGCGCACGCAGGCGGUCUGUUAAGUCAGAUGUGAAAUCCCCGGGCUUAACCUGGGAACUGCAUUUGAAACUGGCAGGCUUGAGUCUUGUAGAGGGGGGUAGAAUUCCAGGUGUAGCGG